CCAGGAUUUAUCGGGUUUAAAGGGUGCGCAGGCUGAUCGGUAAGUCAUGGGUGAAAAGUCACUGCUUAACAGUGAUCGUGCCUAUGAUACUGCCGGACUAGAGUUUAAGAGGUGUAACUGGAAUGUGAUGUGUAGCGGUGAAAUGCUUAGAUAUGUCACAGAACGCCAAUCGUGAAGACAGGUUACAAACUUAAUACUGACGCUCAUGCACGAAAGCGUGGGGAUCAAACAGGAUUAGAUACCCUGGUAGUCCACGCUGUAAACGAUGAUCACUCGUUGUUGGGUAGUAAUACUCAGUGGCUAAGCGAAAGCGAUAAGUGAUCCACCUGGGGAGUACGAUCGCAAGGUUGAAACUCAAAGGAAUUGACGGGGGCCCGCACAAGCGGAGGAGCAUGUGGUUUAAUUCGAUGAUACGCGAGGAACCUUACCCGGGCUUGAACGUAAGACGAAUAUACAGGAAACUGUAUAGCCUACGGGCGUCUUGCGAGGUGCUGCAUGGUUGUCGUCAGCUCGUGCCGUGAGGUGUUAGGUUAAGUCCUGCAACGAGCGCAACCCUUACACAUAGUUGCCAGCACGUAAUGGUGGGGACUCUAUGGGAACUGCCUACGCAAGUAGAGAGGAAGGUGGGGAUGACGUCAAAUCAGCACGGCCCUUAUGUUCGGGGCUACACACGUGCUACAAUGGCAUAUACAGAGGGCAGCCACUACGCGAGUAGGCGCUAAUCCUCAAAGUAUGUCUCAGUUCGGAUUGGAGUCUGUAACUCGACUCUAUGAAGUUGGAUUCGCUAGUAAUCGCGCAUCAGC
rnacentral:rRNA from 1 species